UUAUCCGGAUUUAUUGGGUUUAAAGGGUGCGUAGGCGGUUUAUUAAGUUAGUGGUUAAAUAUUUGAGCUAAACUCAAUUGUGCUUAAUACUGGUAAACUGGAGUACAGACGAGGUAGGCGGAAUAAGUUAAGUAGCGGUGAAAUGCAUAGAUAUAACUUAGAACUCCGAUAGCGAAGGCAGCUUACCAGACUGUAACUGACGCUGAUGCACGAGAGCGUGGGUAGCGAACAGGAUUAGAUACCCUGGUAGUCCACGCCGUAAACGAUGCUCACUGGUUCUGUGCGAUAUAUUGUACGGGAUUAAGCGAAAGUAUUAAGUGAGCCACCUGGGGAGUACGUCGGCAAGAAUGAAACUCAA
rnacentral:rRNA from 1 species